rnacentral:rRNA from 1 species
UACGUAGGGUGCGAGCGUUAAUCGGAAUUACUGGGCGUAAAGCGUGCGCAGGCGGUUUUGUAAGCCAGAUGUGAAAUCCCCGGGCUUAACCUGGGAAUGGCAUUUGGGACUGCAAGGCUGGAGUGCGGCAGAGGAGACUGGAAUUCCCGGUGUAGCAGUGAAAUGCGUAGAUAUCGGGAGGAAUACCGAUGGCGAAGGCAGGUCUCUGGGCCACUACUGACGCUGAGAAGCGAAAGCAUGGGGAGCGAACAGG